rnacentral:rRNA from 1 species
AGGAUGAACGCUGGCGGCGUGCUUAACACAUGCAAGUCGAACGAUGAAGGCUGGAGCUUGCUCUGGCUGGAUUAGUGGCGAACGGGUGAGUAACACGUGAGUAACCUGCCCCUGACUCUGGGAUAAGCGCUGGAAACGGCGUCUAAUACCGGAUACGAGCUUCCACCGCAUGGUGAGGAGCUGGAAAGAAUUUCGGCUGGGAUGGACUCGCGGCCUAUCAGCUUGUGGUGAGGUAUGGCUCACCAAGGCGACGACGGGUAGCCGGCCUGAGAGGGUGACCGGCACACGUGGACUGACGACGCGCCAGACUCCGACGGAGCAGCAGGUGGGAUAGUUGACACGAAGUGGGACGCCAAGUCC